AGAGUUUGAUCAUGGCUCAGGACGAACGCUGGCGGCGCACCUAAGACAUGCAAGUCGGACGGGGGCUUCGGCCCCAGUGGCGGACGGGUGAGUAACACGUAGGAGACCUGCCUCGGGGUGGGGGAUACCACCGGGAAACCGGUGCUAAGACCGCAUACGUCCUCCCGCAUAGCGGCGGGAGGGGAAAUACUUCGGUAGCCCUGAGAGGGUCCUGCGGCGGAUUAGGUGGUUGGGGGGGUAGUGGCCCACCAAGCCGACGGUCCGUAGCUGGUCUGAGAGGACGACCAGCCACACCGGGACUGAGACACGGCCCGGACUCCUACGGGAGGCAGCAGUUAGGGAAUUUUCACAAUGGGCGCAAGCCUGAUGGAGUGACGCCGCGUGCGGGAGGACGGCCCUCGGGUCGUAAACCGCUUUUGACGGGGACGAGAAGGACGGUACCCGUCGAAGAAGCCCCGGCUAACUACGUGCCAGCAGCCGCGGUAAUAC
rnacentral:rRNA from 1 species